rnacentral:rRNA from 1 species
UCCUACGGGACGCAGCAGUGAGGAAUAUUGGUCAAUGGUCGGGAGACUGAACCAGCCAAGCCGCGUGAGGGAUGAAGGUACAGAGUAUCGUAAACCUCUUUUGUCAGGGAACAAAGGCGGGGACGUGUCCUCGGAUGAGUGUACCUGAAGAAAAAGCAUCGGCUAACUCCGUGCCAGCAGCCGCGGUAAUACGGAGGAUGCGAGCGCUAUCCGGAUUUAUUGGGUUUAAAGGGUGCGCAGGCGGUCUGUUAAGUCAGCGGUCAAAGCCCGGGGCGCAACCCCGGCCCGCCGUUGAAGCUGGCAGG